AGAAAACUGCGCCGUACACUGGCAAGACAACAGAAGUGAACUUCAAUGAUGUAAUAAUCAGAAAGACAGAAGUUCUAUAUUUUGACUACGCAGUGAUAUCUUUGGCAAGUAACAAGACGACAUCUUCGCAACGGUUGAAAUUUAUGACUGAUCGAACUUCAUGUAAGUUAAAAGACAAAGACUAUUUAAGGAUAGGUACAUUAAGGGCAAAUAGGUAGAUCUUGGAUUUUGAGAGGCCCGAUGUUUAUAACCUGCAGAAUCGUUCACAGAGAGCUUUUGAGAUUGAAACCUGUUGCGAAAAUUUUAUUUACAACAGUCGAGAUGCGAUCUUGCUAAUAGGCGGUCCAGCUCAGUUCCCAUUUUAAUGCAAAAUGAAAUUUAGUAGGAAAUAAUGCAACAGGCGGGAUCUCGCCUAAACUGGCCAGCUCAUGGUACCCGGGCUAGCUCUCAGGCUCGCCCCAUUUAAACAGCCCCUAAUACUGUGCUGUUUUUACCACAUUAAAAGUAAUUUCUGUUUUUCAUUGUAAAGCUACGAAAUGCAGUAUUAUUGGUGGGGUUACAUAUAUAUCAUGGAGACCGCAAUGGAACUGUUUUGACGAGAAUAUAAUCGAACAAGCACAAUUCUGUUUCUACGAUGGUCCGUGUUUCCCUGUGUGUGAAGCUUCGUUUUUCGCGAAUGGAACUUUUCGUGCAGCACGAACUUACGAGGAUGAAAUCAUUAACGUUUGCCGCAAACGAGACGACGACUGCAAGUUUAUAUCCGAUCAAGAUUCUACUAAAAUUAACAAUGUUUCUAAUAAAUUUAUCAAUGUUUUGUGGUCACCUGAAACUCGGAGAAUAACUUGUGCUUUGUUCAGGACUUGUAUGCAUUAUACUUACACAUUUUCAGUCAAGGCAUUCUCAUUCAAUGAUGGAAGAGAGAGGAUACUAGAUAAUGUUGACGUCUGCCGUGAAAACAC